UCCUCCCGAAUCGGGAAAGGGAAACAGUUGGUAACUUCAAGAAUGCUGCCAACAUCUAACCCAAGAAGCUGGCCAGUUACCAAAGCAGGAGAGAACUCCUUGCAGUGUUUGAUUAUCUUCAAAAUAACCAGUCCCUCGAUCUGAACAACUCGAAGGGGAGGAGCAACCUCCUCUGUUGAUGCUACCUGAAGGAACGAUCUUGCAAUUGUGUUGCUGUUGUUAGCCAUGACCGAGUAGGAUCCCCAAAGAUGAAAAUUCGGCGCGAGAAUUUUGGCUAGGGCAAAGCUUUUCCUUCUCUGCAGUCUCUGCUACUAACCUAAAGCCCGCACUGUCAUCGGGCC
rnacentral:misc_RNA from 1 species